rnacentral:lncRNA from 1 species
CCUACUGCUCACCAUUCCCCAGGAACUCACUGAUACACAGUUUGCUAACCUUGAUUUUCUCUCUUAACAGACACAGAACAACAAGAGGAAACUGAACAUUAUCACAUGUGAAGGAGGAGUGAUCGUGUGACUCAGAAGAAUAAUCGGGAUUACAUGAAGGAACUUGACAGGAAUUCUGGCUUGGUGUGGUCAUAAGUUGUUGCCAUUUGAGGAUGCCAAGAGACUGCUGUGUGCCCUCCUAGGCUCCCUGCACAUCCACCGGCUUCACAAACUCCUGGGGAUUAGCUGAUCCAAACCACCCUAGUGUGAAAAUCCUGGUGGCAUAUAGUCUCAACCCUUCCUACUCCGAAAGGCAGAGAGACAAGUCUGCCUACAGCUCUGAUACCCAUGUGCUCCUGCCAGAAGGCACCGUCACUCUGUCUUCUGUGUUUGACCUGAGGUGUCCCGGUUCCAACCACUCACAUUCGUGCCUCCUCUCAAGUUCCACAGACUGUAUUUCCAGCAGAAAUCCCUGCCUGCGAGCAUGGAUCAGACUCGGUGUCAGAAAUAGAUUUUC